UGAGAAGUGAGGAGACCCUCUGCCUGGC
rnacentral:piRNA from 1 species